rnacentral:tRNA from 1 species
GGAGAGGUGGCCGAGCGGCUUAAGGCGGCGGUCUUGAAAACCGCUGAAGGGUAAUACUCUUCCGUGGGUUCGAAUCCCACCCUCUCCGCCA